rnacentral:misc_RNA from 1 species
GUCGGAAUGACAUAGAAAGUAUUGCUGCUGAAAUGGAAGGAAAGACAGAGGAGGAGGUUGAAAGAUACGCAAAUGUUUUCAAAGAAAGAUACAAAGAACUAAAUGAUUAUGAUAGGAUUAUUAAGAACAUUGAAAGAGGAGAGGCUAGAAUUUCGCGGAGAGAUGAGAUUAUGAAAGCAAUUGGUAAGAAGCUGGAUCGAUAUAAAAAUCCAUGGUUGGAAUUGAAGAUCCAGUAUGGUCA